AGAUGUAGAGUGAACCUGUCCAUGUCAAUAAUGGUAGAGACCAAUGGGUACAUGUGAAACAUUUCAAGUCCUACACGUCAAGGAAAAUGAUAGGACAAGAAAAGAAAGAUAUGUCCAGAUCGGCGCUUAUAAUUCAGCGCUCCAUCCAGCAUCAUGGGACCAUAAUAAUAAUGGUUCACUUGUUAGGCUGUACUGUGUCGACGAGCACCGAAAUGGACCCCCUUGAGGCGUUUUAUUCUGAAGUGAAUGAUCGCCACGGCUUAUCUACAGCAUUGGCGCCCUUGCAUUCAUUCUGCUUGAGGCAUACACAUAUCAUUCAGCCGUAUGUGCAGGUGCAGCCUUGCAAGUCACGCAACAGCGUGCUUGUUGGCGGCGCUGCUGUGGAAUUAGAGAGGUGGGAUGACCGCACUCCGAUCCCAGUGGAGAUGAAAAUGGGAAUGAGAUGAAAUGAAAUGAAGCAGCUCAUGCAUGCAUCAUGAUGUCGUUGCAACUCGGGCGGCGUGUUAACCCAGACCCACUAGCUCCUCCCCAGUUUGUCGCCUUAGCCAUGCGAGAUGCCUUUCUGCCGAUGCCUUUGGUCGAUGCUUCACACAGUAUAUUUGGGCCAACGUUGGAGGAACAACUAUUUGCGGCAAUUAAUUGAAGGAAACAUCCUGGCGGAUGGGACACUUCGAUUUUUUGCCAAAUCCUGCAUGCCCUUGCCAUCGAAGAGCGCAUCGUUUCGACUGAACCGCACGGCAUUAAACGAGACGCAGCACCGUACCACCAGUGGACUGAAUCCGUCUUUCUUUUGAAACAAAGCUCUUCUACUUUGAUAUAUAUACAAAAAUUUGCAAAAUGAAUUUACCUGGACAAAUUUAGCUUCGAUCGAAGAACGUGCAGCAGUUAAGUGUCGGUUGUCCUGUAGCUUUCUGAGCAGAGAAGGGCAGUAAAGCGUUUGGCUUAACAUGGCUAUAAUGGUGAUGGUGAUGGUGAUGGAUAUAAACGAGGCAAGUGCAACUGUAGUUUGAUGAGCGUGAGUAGCUAGCUU